CCUACGGGAGGCAGCAGUAGGGAAUUUUCGGCAAUGGGGGGAACCCUGACCGAGCAACGCCGCGUGAACGAAGAAGUUCUUCGUAAUGUAAAGCUCUUUUAACAGGGAAGAAAGAGAAAUUUGACGGUACCUGAAGAAUAAGCUCCGGCUAACUACGUGCCAGCAGCCGCGGUAAUACGCAGGGAGCGAGCGUUAUCCGGAAUUAUUGGGCGUAAAGGGUGCGUAGAUGGCAUAGUAAGUCUUUUGUAAAAAUGCUGGGCUCAACCCAGUAGGGCAAAAGAUACUGCAAAGCUAGAGUAUGACAGAGGCAAGUGGAACUACAUGUGUAGCGGUAAAAUGCGUAGAUAUAUGUAAGAACACCAGUGGCGAAGGCGGCUUGCUGGGUCGAUACUGACAUUGAGGCACGAAAGCGUGGGGAGCAAACAGGAUUAGAUACCCGGGUAGUC
rnacentral:rRNA from 1 species